AAGGGUUGGAGACUUACAAACUCACUUGCUAGAAUUCUAUGCCUUUAGGGUCAAAUUUAGCUCUAUUUUAAGCAAUUGAACCCAUGUGUAACAUAAUCCACCCUUCGGAACUACUACCAAUAUAAUCAAACAUAACUGAACCCAUGUGUAACAUAAUCCACCCUUCUGAACUGCUAACAAUAUAAUCAAACACACCACCCCAAUCAUUCACAACACAUCAAAUAAUUUGUCAAUACAUACGUCUUCC
rnacentral:lncRNA from 1 species